GACGAACGCUGGCGGCGUGCUUAACACAUGCAAGUCGAACGAAGUGGCGCACGGGUGAGUAACGUGUAAUCAACCUGCCCUUCAGAGGGGGACAACAGUUGGAAACGACUCCUAAUACCGCAUACUGAAGGAGGGGUGUGCGUUUGAUUAGCUCGUUGGAGGGGUAACGGCCCACCAAGGCGAUGAUCAGUAGGCGGUUUGGGAGGUUGAACGGCCACAUUGGGACUGAGACACGGCCCAGACUUCUACGGGAGGCAGCAGGGGGGAAUCUUCCGCAAUGGAGGGAAGUCUGACGGAGCAACGCCGCGUGAGUGAUGACGGCCUUCGGGUUGUAAAGGUCUGUUAAUCGGGACGCGGUACCGGAAUAGAAAGCCACGGCUAACUACGUGCCAGCAGCCGCGGUAAUAC
rnacentral:rRNA from 1 species